rnacentral:rRNA from 1 species
UUACCUGGUCCGGACAUCAAAAGGAUAGACAGACUGCCAGAUCUUUCUUGAUAUGGUGAUUGGUGGUGCAUGGCCGUUCUUAGUUCGUGGAGUGAUCUGUCAGGCUUAUCCCGGUAACGAACGAGACCACGUUCUCCAUUUGACGAGCUAGAGAAUGCAUCGGCAUUGCGUAUUUUUGCUUGCAAAGCUCCUCAGUGUUGGUGUAUGGCAUCGUGGAGCAGCACAGUGUGUGUUAGUUGAGGUGGAAACAUCGAGAGUGGCCCAUGUUGGGUUGUCUUUGCGCUCCCUCUAGCUUAACAGUGCAUACUGGCAACAGUUGUGUAUUGUAUCAUGGAGAGACAACGGAAUAUACUAAAAAAAAUCCGAGGAAGUGUGGCUAUAACAGGUCUGUGAUGCCCUUAGAUGUUCAGGGCUGCACGCGCGCUACAAU